UACAGAGGGUGCAAACGUUGCUCGGAAUUAUUGGGCGUAAAGCGCACGUAGGCGGUUCGUUAAGUCGGAUGUGAAAGCCCUGGGCUCAACUCAGGAAGUGCAUACGAAACUGGCGAGCUUGAAUAUGGAAGAGGGUCGCGGAAUUCCCGGUGUAGAGGUGAAAUUCGUAGAUAUCGGGAGGAACACCAGUGGCGAAGGCGGCGACCUGGGCCAAUAUUGACGCUGAGGUGCGAAAGCGUGGGGAGCAAACAGG
rnacentral:rRNA from 1 species